UGAAGCUUGCUUCGGUCCUAGUUAGCGGCGGACGGGUGAGUAACACGUAGGAAUCUGCCUUCAGGCGGGGGACAACGGAACGAAAGUUGCGCUAAUACCCCAUACGAGAGUAAUCUUAAAAGGAGCAAUCCACCUGUUGAUGAGCCUGCGUCCGAUUAGCUAGUUGGUGGGGUAAAGGCCUACCAAGGCUACGAUCGGUAGUUGGUCUGAGAGGAUGAUCAGCCACAAUGGAACUGAGACACGGUCCAUACUCCUACGGGAGGCAGCAGUGGGGAAUUUUACGCAAUGGGCGAAAGCCUGACGUAGCGACACCGCGUGAGCGAAGAAGCCUUUUGGGGUGUAAAGCUCUGUCAGCUGGAACGAACACAAUGACGGUACCAGCAGAGGAAGCAUCGGCUAACUACGUGCCAGCAGCCGCGGUAAGACGUAGGAUGCAAGCGUUGUCCGGAUUUAUUGGGCGUAAAGAGUUCGUAGGCGGUUAGUUAAGUCUGGUGUUAAAUCCCGUGGCCCAACCACGGAGCUGCAUCAGAUACUGGCUGACUUGAGUGCGGUAGAGGCGAGUGGAAUUCCCAGUGUAGCGGUGAAAUGCGUAGAUAUUGGGAAGAACACCAGCGGCGUAAGCGACUCGCUGGGCCGUAACUGACGCUGAGGAACGAAAGCCAGGGGAGCGAAUGGGAUUAGAUACCCCAGUAGUCCUGGCCGUAAACGAUGGAUACUAGGCGCUGCGGGUAUCGACCCCUGCAGUGCCGCAGCUAACGCGAUAAGUAUCCCGCCUGAGUAGUACGGCCGCAAGGUUGAACUCAAAGGAAUUGACGGGGGCCCGCACAAGCGGUGGAACAUGUGGUU
rnacentral:rRNA from 1 species